UCGGGAAUUUUGGGCAAUGGGCGCAAGCCUGAUCCAGCCAUGCCGCGUGGAUGAUGAAGGCCUUAGGGUUGUAAAAUCCUUUCGUUGGGGACGAUAAUGACGGUACCCAAAGAAGAAGCUCCGGCUAACUUCGUGCCAGCAGCCGCGGUAAUACGAAGGGGGCUAGCGUUGUUCGGAUUUACUGGGCGUAAAGCGCGUGUAGGCGGACUUGUAAGUUGGGGGUGAAAUCCCGAGGCUCAACCUCGGAACUGCCUCCAAAACUACAAAUCUGGACCUAAGUAGAGGCAAGUGGAAUUGCGAGUGUAGAGGUGAAAUUCGUAGAUAUUCGCAGGAACACCGAUGGCGAAGGCAAUCCCCUGGGCCUGUACUGACGCUCAUGCACGAAAGCGUGGGGAGCAAACAGGAUUAGAUACCCACGUAGUCCCUGAGCGGGCUGGCAAGGCGCAU
rnacentral:rRNA from 1 species